UGUCCAGGAAGGGUGAACGAACCCACAGUGUUCCGCUUACCGGGCAGAUGCCAUGUCCACUAGGCUACCCUGGAC